rnacentral:rRNA from 1 species
AUUGAACGCUGGCGGCAGGCUUAACACAUGCAAGUCGAACGAGUGGCGGACGGAAUAGUAAUGAUUGGGACUCUAGCUUAUGGAGGGGGAUCACUACGGGAAACUGUAGCUAAUCCCGCCUACCAUAGUCUGGGCCCGAGUGGGAUUAGGUAGUUGGUGAGGUAAAGGCUCACCAAGCCGACGAUCUCUAGCUGGUCUGAGAGGAUGACCAGCCACACUGGGACUGAGACACGGCCCAGACUCCUACGGGAGGCAGCAGUGGGGAAUAUUGCGCAAUGGGGGAAAGCUGAUGCAGCCAUGCCGCGUGAAUGAAGAAGGCCUUCGGGUUGUAAAGUUCUUUCGGUAGCGAGGCGUUACCUACAGAAGAAGCACCGGCUAACUCCGUGCCAGCAGCCGCGGUAAUAC